UCAUAUCAUGGUGGUAGUCAGCAGAUGU
rnacentral:piRNA from 1 species